UACGUAGGUGGCAAGCGUUGUCCGGAUUUACUGGGCGUAAAGAGCGCGCAGGCGGUCGUUCAAGUCGCGUGUGAAAGCCCCCGGCUCAACUGGGGAGGGUCACGCGAUACUGAUCGACUCGAAGGCAGGAGAGGGAAGUGGAAUUCCCGGUGUAGUGGUGAAAUGCGUAGAUAUCGGGAGGAACACCAGAGGCGAAGGCGACUUCCUGGCCUGUUCUUGACGCUGAGGCGCGAAAGCUAGGGGAGCAAACGGG
rnacentral:rRNA from 1 species